AUGAUGUACCCGAUGGCACUAGCCAACAUCAUGUUCCAGGUGAUGGGCGACGACAUGGGGUUUGUCCCCAACGGGUACGUAGUGAUUUUCGUGGUGCCGCCAUCACCACCUCGUCAAGGCAGUGUGGGUAUUGUGAGCCACGGGUUGUCGGACGGGAGGAGCGCCAUGACUAAAGCUGACAUGAUGAACUACAUGGGCGACAGAGCGAUGAUGGAGAACGGCGGCGCCCGGAAACACGGUGCCCCGGAUGAUCAGUCCUGCAAGAGGAGUAUCGAGCGUUGCCACCGCCGCAUGAUCAAGAACCGCGAGUCAGCCACACGAUCGUGUGCCAGGAAGCAGUCUCUGUCUUUCUCAAUCCUACAGGCUUAUACCGUGGAGCUUGAAGCUGAACUGAACCACCUCAAGGAGGAGAAUGCACGUCUGAAAGCUGAGGAGAAGACAAUUCUGCUGACCAAGAAAAAAAAUGCUGGUGGAGAAGAUGAUGGAGCAGCCCAAGGAGAACGUGAACGCCAAGAAGGAUGGCGCCUUGUUGCGGCCCUACGGCAGCUGCAUCUGGUGAAAGGUGACCUGCCAUUCAACUUCCAUAGCCGUGCUGGCAAGAGGAUGAGAAUGAAUUGUGGUUACCUUUCCUUUCUGGAGCGGGUGAAGAAAAUUCUGCUGACCAAGAAACAAAUGCUGGUGGAGAAGAUGAUAGAACAGUCCAAGGAGAACGUGAACGCCAAGAAGGGCGGCACCCUCUCACGGUGCUGCGGCAACUGCAUCUGGUGA
rnacentral:rRNA from 1 species